rnacentral:ncRNA from 1 species
CCAGAAGAGGUGCAAUUGCCAGGUAGGUAACACGAGGAUCCACAUCCGUUGAAGGUUACUAAGGGGGACAAUUGCCGAGAAUGUUGAUAUGGGUGGCAUAUCACGUUCGGUCACUAGGGCUGAAUCCCUAGGGCUGUCACCGCUAGAAAGCAAAUCGCUUUUUAGAUUUGGGUGGAGAGCUUCUGGC